AUUUUGCCACGGCGGCGCCUCCGCCAUCAUCCAGCCGGCCAGGUCGGGUCGAAUCGAACGAAUCGAGUCGAGUCGUCUGCAAAGUCCAAGCUCCGGGGGGAGAGGGGGAGGGAGAGAGAGGCUCCAAAUGGCGUCCUCGCUGUUGCCUUCCCAACUGGACGCCGACGCCGACGACGCGCCCCGCACGCACUAGACCAAAACCUCAACCUCCUCGGCUGACUUCCCAUAUAAGUCGCCGUUCGGGCGCGCGGGGCGUCUCGCCGGAGCGGGGGAUCAGUCGCAAUGCCGGAGGCGGCGGUGGGGAUGGAUCCGGCAGCGGCGGCGUACGGCGACGAGGCGGAGCGGGAGGGGCAGGAGACUGAGGGGGAGGAGUUCUACGAGUCGCUGGAUCGGAUCCUCUCGUCCUCGUGCUCGUCCACGUCCGCCUCCGACGACGACGCGGGGGACCCGCACCGCCGGCGCCGGCGGCACC
rnacentral:lncRNA from 1 species